UCACGGUUAAACCCUGACGCCGUGGAACUCGUUGUAAACGAUGCAAAGGACGCGGUCGAUGCCAGCAAGUGGGCGUCUUCAACCUUGGGACGCGACGCAAGCCAUGUUGCCUCACGACUCUUCUGAGAAUUCUGGAGGAGGAAGAAAGAUUGGAUAAUAAGAAGAUGCUGAAACGAUCACUAGAACUUCAAGGUGGGGUUUUUAUGUUGGGUUCACAAGUGCUAAUCUUUGUUUUCAUUUAACAGUUGAUUAAUUUUCUUGUCUAUGUUAAUAUUGCUUGCAGUUUUUGUCCCUAAAUUGAUCAUUAAUCUUUAUGCUUUUUGUAUGUCGAAAUUAAAGAACUAAUUCGAUCUGGUCAUUAUUUCUAGUUCACUAAAAUUGGUGAUGAUAAGCUAUUAUGUGGCAUUAUUAACAUUUGCUUAUUAUAUGCAUUAAUAGUUUCUGAUACAAAGAUAUGCAUUUUUUUCUACUUCUUCUUUUUAUUUGUUUGCUUACCGUAAGGCUUAAUAUCAUAUGAUAGGAGGGCAUGUAAUUUUUCUGUUCUUUUAUUUGUUUAUUUAUUUAUUUAAUCUGAGAUCCGGUGAAGCAAGGAUCAAACAGGACAACAACGGUCAAAUCAUGCCUGAUGAGUAAGCCAAUGAAAUUUUAAUGGCAGGACUAGAAUCAUUGCGGAAAUAGUAGCUGGAUCCUCAGUUUCAUAUUUCGGUGCUGUGUCGUGAGCCUUGAUCAUUGGGUCAUGGUUCUAAGAUAUCGAGCUGUGCUCUACUUAAAAUGUGUUUUGGUCCUCAGGCUUUUAAUGAAGGUCAAAUUUAGAAGAAUUUGAAUGGCAAAAAAUUUCUAAUAUUUUUAACGGCACUAGCUUAUAAAGGGAUGAAAUAUUUGUUUUACAUACUUCUAAUAGCAACACCAUGAUAUAUCUUUAAUUUUGAUUUCUAUCAUGGCAUAUAACGUGUAUGAUCUUAAAUUUCCAAGCGCAUUAGCUCUUGGUUUCAUCUUGAAUCAACUGUUAACGGAAGUCCCUAGUUCAGCCAUUAAACUUUUAGAGAAUGCCUAUGGUUGGUCACACAAAUAUAAAAAGAAUUGUUUUGUUUCAUUGGUUUUGGUUCUUGAACUAGAAUUUGACUCUUUAUCUUUAACAAUUCCAAGAGAAAAGAAAAUGGGCAGAAAAUUUUUUUUUUUUAUCGUGCAAUAGAUGUAUCAAGUCCAAGAUGUUGCACUACCAUAAUACCAUUCUUAACUAUAUAGGAUACACAGUUUUUUUUAUAGAACUAUUUUUUUGCACUUCUCAUUUCUUCUUGAUUAUUUAAUUAGAUGUUGACAUUUAAUUAUGGGUGUAAUUGACUAAGCACUUUAGUCUCAGUAUGAGUCUUAGGAAGCAUGAAUUCUUACUUUUCUUUUCCACUACUGAUUAUUAUGGACUUUAAGGACUAGUGGUAGAUACAUAUUAUGGUCGUUGCACCUUACAUUGAAAUUCUCGUUGCAAUCUGAACAUAUAACACUCAGAUGGAUUCCUGUCUUCAAUAGUAAGAUAAUUCCUGUAUGUCAUGGGUACAAUCUUUUAUGAAUGCGCAAAGCUAGUCGUGGAAAAUCACAAUUGAUAUUUUAAAGUGCCUAGAGAAACCAGGAUUCAUGAGACAACAUUUGCAAACUUUAAUGGACACCAGUGAGAAAGAAACUUCUUGAUAGCCACAAAAAUAACCAACAUCAUUUUCCUCCGAACAUCUUCAUACGAUUUUUCUAUUUCCUGUAAAAUCUUUACCUCAUAAUCCCCAUUUCUUUCUCUUUUUUUCCCCCCUUAGGUUAGACUGAUGUUCUGUGGACAAUACAUGCUGAAGUUUGGGCUUUAUAAGAGGAUGCAGCAAUGGCCUCACCAACCGUCAUAUAGAUUCGUUCUGAUCCGAAAAGAUCCCAAGUCCCCAA
rnacentral:lncRNA from 1 species